rnacentral:rRNA from 1 species
AACACGAUUAGAUUCCUGGUAGUCCCGCCCUAAACGAUGCUAACUCCGAUCUGUGACCCGCAGACUAGCGCGUCCAAGGGAAACCACUAAGUUAGCCACCUGGAGAGUACGUUCGCAAAGAAAUGAAACUCAGAGGAUUUGACGGGGGUCCGCACAAGCGGUGGAGCAAUGUGGUUUAAUUCGAUGAUACGCGAGGAUCCUUACCUGGGCCCGAAUGCCUUUGGUUCGAUCCCGAAAGGGAUCUUCUCUUCGGAGCGGGAGGGCGGGGGGCUACAUAAAAAAAAGUCAGCUCGUGUCGUGAGGUCAUUAUUUUAAGUCUAGCAAACGAGCGCAACCCAUGUCCUUACCUGCCAGCAAGUAAAGUUGGGGGCUCUAAGGAAAAAUUUGGCGCAAGCCGCGCGGAAGGUGGGGAUGACGUCAAAUUCUCUUCGCCUCUAUGCCCCCGGCUCCUCACGCCCUACAAUGGCGGAUACAGAGGGGAGCGAAGCCGCGACGUGGAGCCAAUCCCAGAAAGUCCGUCCCAGUUCGGAUUGGAGUCGGCAACUCGCUCCAUGGAGGUGGAAUCGUUAGUAAUCGAGU